UACGAAGGGGGCUAGCGUUGCUCGGAAUCACUGGGCGUAAAGGGCGCGUAGGCGGAUGAUUAAGUCGGAGGUGAAAGCCCAGGGCUCAACCCUGGAAUUGCCUUCGAUACUGAUUGUCUCGAGAGCGGAAGAGGUUAGUGGAACUCCGAGUGUAGAGGUGAAAUUCGUAGAUAUUCGGAAGAACACCAGUGGCGAAGGCGACUGACUGGUCCGUUUCUGACGCUGAGGCGCGAAAGCGUGGGGAUCAAACAGG
rnacentral:rRNA from 1 species